rnacentral:rRNA from 1 species
AAGUCGAACGAAGGCCAUAGAGGAGCUUGCUUUAAUAUGGUUUUAGCGGCGGACGGGUGAGUAACGCGUGAGGACUUGUCGAGUACAGGGGGACAACAGGUGGAAACGUCUGCUAAUACCCCAUAAGCCUUCGGGUAAAAGGAGCGAUCCGGUACACGAGAGACUCGCGUUCUAUCAGCUAGUAGGUGGGGUAACGGCCCACCCAGGCCAAGACGGAUAGCCGGACUGAGGGGUCGAUCGGCCACACUGGAACUGAGACACGGUCCAGACUCCUACGGGAGGCAGCAGUGGGGAAUAUUGGGCAAUGGGGAAACCCUUGACCCAGCGACGCCGCGUGAGUGAAGAAAUCCCUCGGGAUGUAAAACUCUGUUGUGUGGGAAGAUAAUGACGGUACCACACGAGGAAGCCCCGGCAAACUACGUGCCAGCAGCCGC